AAAUAGUUGAUGUGCUAGAAUUGUUUCAUGUGUACAAUAUAUCAAUAUAUCAAUAUAUUAACAAUCAAUAAAAAAAUCAAUAACAGUACAGUUACAACAGUGCGUGCGUUGGAUCAUUGGUACUAGUCAUUAAUUCUAAAAGCUCGAGCUGUUAGAAAUAUACAACUAAUUCACUUAAAACGUACAGAUACAACGCCCACGGAUUUCAAUUGUGGCUCGGCUCAUUCAGCCUCACGCUACUUUGAACAUGACUGGACCCACCCAGCCUCACAUCAUUUUGAACAUGACUCAGCCCAACAUGACCUUCCGUCACAUGGCAGAAUAUUGGCCCAUUUAAGCCGACAGUGUGUACAGAGAGAUC
rnacentral:lncRNA from 1 species